GAUGAACGCUGGCGGCGUGCCUAAUACAUGCAAGUCGAGCGAACGGACGAGAAGCUUGUUUCUCUGAUGUUAGCGGCGGACGGGUGAGUAACACGUGGAUAACCUACCUAUAAGACUGGGAUAACUUCGGGAAACCGUAGCUAAUACCGGAUAAUAUUUUGAACCGCAUGGUUCAAAAGUGAAAGACGGUCUUGCUGUCACUUAUAGAUGGCUCCGCGCUGCAUUAGCUAGUUGGUAAGGUAACGGCUUACAAAGGCAACGAUGCAUAGCCGCCCUGAGAGGGUGAUCGGCCACACUGGAACUGAGACACGGUCCAGACUCCUACGGGAGGCAGCAGUAGGGAAUCUUCCGCAAUGGGCGAAAGCCUGACGGAGCAACGCCGCGUGAGUGAUGAAGGUCUUCGGAUCGUAAAACUCUGUUAUUAGUGAAGAACAUAUGUGUAAGUAACUGUGCACAUCUUGACGGUACCUAAUCAGAAAGCCACGGCUAACUACGUG
rnacentral:rRNA from 1 species